GGCUGACCGAAGUGAGUGUGCGUUCGCUUCGCACGAUACCUUCGCUUGAUAAUGCUUGGUAAAGGUGAUGCAAAAGAAAAUUAUGUACUUCUCAAAAUAAGGAAACGGGGAUGGAACGAGAGGAACGGCAGUGGGUCGGCGAGGCAGAUGCAGUGUUGAAAUCUCUGCUCGACCCUCUGUGCAAACCAAUCCGGAUAUGGAAGCACGUAAAUGUACGGAGGGGAUACUGUUACAUUUAUCCCCUGCCCUCAUUCAUGCCAGGUCAGAAAGGACAAGACGACUGAAAGUAACGGGCUGGGAUCGCCAAAGAGGCCGCUCAAGAAAGUCUACAGGCGCUAUAGGCAGCACGUAAACAACACCAACAAAAAAACUUCACAACUACAUUGCACGAUAAAUGAUUACGUAAAGGAGUCGGAGUCGGAGGUAUUUUUACCAACUCCGACUCCGACUCCAGCCAAAAGGAGCCGACUCCAUCGACUCCGACUCCGACUCCACACCCCUUCUUGUAUCUAUAUUAGCGAUGCAAAUCGACAUGUUUGGGAUUAAUAAGGACUGAUUUUUUUGUAUACAUAAGCAUUCAAAUAUAUUACUGAAAAAAAUAGCUUGAAUAUCUAUUACAACAGUUGAUUUUCACGUAUUCACGAACUGCAAAUGCGCAGGUGCUACAUCUGUCAAAAUUCCCGUUGCGUGGUGUGUGUGUGUGUGUGUGUGUGUGCGCGCUCGCCAACUAUCAUACAUGUGCAAAUUCAUGUACGGAUUGACUGUGUACGUAUUUUAAUAUUUUACGACGGACUGGUGAUAAAACACACACACACACACACACACACAGAGAGAGAGAGAGAG